GAUGAAGAACGUAGCGAAAUGCGAUAAGUAAUGUGAAUUGCAGAAUUCAGUGAAUCAUCGAAUCUUUGAACGCACAUUGCGCCCGCCAGCAUUCUGGCGGGCAUGCCUGUUCGAGCGUCAUUUCAACCCUCGACUUCCCUUUGGGGAAAUCGGCGUUGGGGACCGGCUGUAUACCGCCGGCCCCGAAAUGAAGUGGCGGCCCGUCCGCGGCGACCUCUGCGUAGUAAUCCAACUCGCACCGGAACCCCGACGUGGCCACGCCGUAAAACCCCCGACUUCUGAACGUUGACCUCGGAUCUGGUAGGAAUACCCGCUGAACUUAAGCAUAUCAAUAAGCGGAGGA
rnacentral:misc_RNA from 1 species